GAUGAACGCUGGCGGCGUGCCUAAUACAUGCAAGUCGAGCGAACAGACGAGGAGCUUGCUCCUUUGACGUUAGCGGCGGACGGGUGAGUAACACGUAGGUAACCUACCUAUAAGACUGGGAUAACUUCGGGAAACCGGCGCUAAUACCGGAUAAUAUUUCGAACCGCAUGGUUCGAUAGUGAAAGAUGGCUUUGCUAUCACUUAUAGAUGGACCUGCGCCGGAUUAGCUAGUUGGUAAGGUAACGGCUUACCAAGGCAACGAUACGUAGCCGACCUGAGAGGGUGAUCGGCCACACUGGAACUGAGACACGGUCCAGACUCCUACGGGAGGCAGCAGUAGGGAAUCUUCCGCAAUGGGCGAAAGCCUGACGGAGCAACGCCGCGUGAGUGAUGAAGGUCUUCGGAUCGUAAAACUCUGUUAUUAGGGAAGAACAAACGUGUAAGUAACUGUGCACGUCUUGACGGUACCUAAUCAGAAAGCCACGGCUAACUACGUG
rnacentral:rRNA from 1 species